rnacentral:rRNA from 1 species
GUUGACCUCGGAUCAGGUAGGGAUACCCGCUGAACUUAAGCAUAUCAAUAAGCGGAGGAGGA